CUAUGGGGUGCUGCAGUGAUGAAUAUUGCACAAUGGGGGGAACCCUGAUGCAGCAACGCCGCGUGGAGGAUGACGCAUUUCGGUGUGUAAACUCCUUUUAUAUGUCAAGAAAAUGACGGUAGCAUAUGAAUAAGCACCGGCUAACUCCGUGCCAGCAGCCGCGGUAAUACGGAGGGUGCAAGCGUUACUCGGAAUCACUGGGCGUAAAGGACGCGUAGGCGGGUUGGAAAGUCAGGUGUGAAAUCCUACAGCUUAACUGUAGAACUGCACUUGAAACUUCUAAUCUAGAGUAUGGGAGGGGGAGAUGGAAUUAGUGGUGUAGGGGUAAAAUCCGUAGAUAUCACUAGGAAUACCUAAAGCGAAGGCGAUCUCCUGGAACAUUACUGACGCUAAGGCGUGAAAGCGUGGGGAGCAAACAGGAUUAGAUACCCCAGUAGUC
rnacentral:rRNA from 1 species